rnacentral:lncRNA from 1 species
CCACGCUAAACCGUUAGGUUUAUUCAACAACAACCAUUAAUUAAUCAAUAAGUAACGAUAAAAAGACAAUUGUGUAUUGGAUUAGGUUGAUUGAACAUGAUGAUUAGUGAAUUUGCAAUAAGCCGUUGGUCACGUGCCGAGUGGCACGCGUUGAUUAAAAAGUCAUUUAACUUCAAAAUUACAAUAUCUAUUGAUACCUAACUUUACAGAUAUGAGGUAUUUAAUCAUAUCCUCCUAUAUAUCCAUAUUCUCUGUGAUCUUAAAACAUCGUUUUAGUGUCCUCAGAGACAUAUAUACACAUGUGUAUAUAUGUCUCUGGUGUCCUUAAUGCAAAAACUUUCUUCUUAGUCAGCGCCAUUAAGAAUUCCUUUGCGGUAUUUCUACACACCGAAAUAUAUGGCCUUAUUGGUAAAAUACCCACGUGAAAAUACCACAGUACUUAGUGUCACUAAUAGUCAAAAUAUUGUGCCGUGAAAACUGGAAAUGAAGUUUAGCGGGACAUAGGAAAUUACAAAAAUAUUAGAAUUGUUUACUUACAUAGUGUAAGCGGGAUGCGGGAAUCUAAAAAAAAAUAAAUAGUAACUAUAAAGCGAGAUCCGUGAACAGAACCCCCAAUGAGACCCCAUUAGUUGUGGCUUAUUUUUGGUCUUUUUAGCUAGUUUCCUUCCCCUACAUUACUUGUAAGUUGAUCGUUUUUGUAAAGCAGCACUCGAGGUCUGACAGUAUAUUACCAAGAAAUGCACAAAAUAUUGAAAAAGAAGGUUUAGAAAAUUUAAAUAAUGGUAUGCACACACACUCCCCUGUCAGCACAGACAAUUAUAUUUUUGUAAACGCGCCAAACUCAUUUCUUCCACAGUGAGACAAGCUUUACAAUGUUGAUGGUGGUGAAAAUCUAGUCCAAAUAAUUAUGACGUCUUGCAAGGCUAUUUUAUUUCUGGAACGCUUUCCUCUGACGAAGCCGAAAUGUGAAACCAAAUCAACAAGAAGUCUAACAUUUAUAAUAGAACUGAAUAUAAAAUCGAAAUGUAAAUGGGGAAUGUAUCAAAAGACCAAAGAGCAGAUAGCAGCCAAAGGGCACCAAUGGGUCUUCAAUGCAACGAGAAAAUCCCACAACCCGAGGAGGGGUUCCUAACCAAAGACAAAUGGGGGGGGGGGGGGUCCAACUACAUGUCCCCAUUCAAUACAAUACAAUACAAUAUGCUUUAUUUGAAAAACACUCCGUCACAUUGACAUGUGAAACAAAGAGGUAAAUUACAAAAUACAAUCACAUACAAUUAAAAAAAAAAAUAAAACAACUUAGAAAUAAAAUAUAUGGA